UUAACUCAAACUUGUAUGCAGUUGGAACAGCGCCCCUGGCGGCAAACGUAGGCGUUCCAACUCUAUACAAAUUUGAGUUA
rnacentral:pre_miRNA from 1 species